rnacentral:lncRNA from 1 species
AUGGCACCAAGAAGAAACCACAGGUCUCCCUGUCCAUCUCAACCGCCUUCUCCCCCAAGAGCCUCUGAGAGCCAGUUUGAGGGCUGCGCUGCUCCUGUCUCUCUCACCACGGGCACACCAGCAGCAUUUCUGGAGAGAAACCUCCACCAAAGGGCAGGCGACUGGGCUGUCUCUAUACCUCACCCUGGGAGAGCUGUGCAUCCUUUAGAGAACUUGCUGUCUCCAGCUCCCCAGCCCUUCUCAUGGAAGCAAAAUAGCACCUUCAUUUUUUCCUAAUAAAAUGAAAAAGAACCCUGUAAGUCACAGUUUCUUGGUCUUGGUUUCUGUUUCUUUGAAUUUGGCUUCUUGGGGUAGUCCUGUGGAUAACUGCACCUCCUCAUGCCAUUCCUAAAGACUGAUUGAAAUCAAAUCCCUAACAAUGAACAGUGGUGUGCUUUAGGAUGGGAGGUGGUGAUUCAGGAUCAGGUAAGUGUGACUUCUCUUCCUCAGGUGAUAAGUUAUGCACUUCCACCUGAGGGAAGGAAGCAUGGAGAAAGCUGGAGGCAGGAUGUUCCUGAUUAUCCAUUUUUUCCCUCCUACCUAUCAGUCUAGUUGUAGGUUGGGAUCCAUAAGGCACUGAUGGCAAAGGUGUGCAGGGGGCUGGAGAUAUUGGCUACUUAGAUAUUGAUUAGGGAAAAAUUUAAGAACAAGUGGAGUCAGAAUUUUCCUAAUCCUGAAAAAGGAAGAGUUUAUUUUCUAAAACAGAAGCAGAAGUUCAUGUGGAGAGAUGUUAAAUUUUAUUGUCAGAUAUUUGCUAUUCAAAUGAUUAGUGAGAUAUAGUGAGACUUUCAUUCCAAAGCUAGCUAUUUGAUCUUGAAAGGAACAUUCAAACUCUCCUAUCAUAUGUUUCUCUAAUAUGGUCAAUUAGGAAUGACUGUUAGACAAAAGUAUUAUUUUGAACAUCAAAACAAAAUGUAGAAAUUUACAUACCACCUGAAGUACAGUAAGCUCAGAGAAUAUUAGUUCUCUUCCUGUCCACAAACUUAAUUGCUGCAGUUCUGUCACUCACUCACUGAGCACUUAUUACAUUUUAGUUGUUUUACAUGUUUUCCUGUUUCAUGAUUUAAUUUAUUGCAUAAAUUAAUCAUCUUUCUUUUCUCCAGCCAGAUAAAUGUCUCUUUUUGUAGAUAAAUUAUUUGAGACACAGAGGUGGCAAGUAACUUGCCUAAACUCUCACAGCUGGUAAAUGGUAGAAUCAAAAUUUGGUCCCACAGACUGUGAUACAAAAACAUUACAC